UUGGAGCAGGUCUGUGUCUGGGCCGGAAUGUGUGUGUGUGACAGUGGGGAGAAAUAUGAAUAUAGCUGGAGGGGGCAGCCUCAUUCCCCAGCUGCACAGCCAUACCACCCCCCUCUGCAUCCCACAUGGAAUGAGAAUAGGCUGGAGGGGCUCCACUCGCACACACCCAUUACUGGGACACAAUAGUUUCCCAUUUCCCUGUCAUGAUUACUGGGUUCUCAUCGGCACGGGAAGGUCCAACAGUUCUGGGGAUCCUCACUGCGCCCAGCUUCCUUCUCUAUUAUUUACAGACAGAGCUCUGCCCUGUGAAUCCAUUAAACUCUGCUCCUUCCCCUCUCUGCAAAAGCUGCUCUGGAAAAUCUCAUCACGCAGCUGCUUUUAUAGGAUGGGGGUUGUUAUAUGAUUUCAACAGGCAGCAAUGUGUUUGGGAGAAUGGAAAGAAUUAAAGCUGAGGGAGAAAAGCAAUCCUGAAUAUUGCAUGUGUAUGUGUGUGUUCUUAUGUAUGUGUGUGUGGCUGGUUUUGUUGGUGUGUGGAGAAUGUGGACAGGUAACUGGCAGCAGGUAGGACCUAGAUGACUCCAUCAUGGAGCCCACCAGCACCACCUCGGUGCCACCACAAGGCACAGCAGGGGAGCCACAGGGAUGGGGAGAGCCACUUUGGGAGGAGGGAGACAGCUUUUUUAACUGAUGUGUCCACGUCCUCAGAAGAAUGGAACUAAUUUAACAACAGCGCCUCGUCACCACUUCCCCUGCGCUGCCAGCAACAAGCUGAGGAGAUGGGGAGAACAUGACCUCCAGCCAGGGGAGCGGGGGGGCGGGGCUGCGGCCAGCUGCGCUCUGCCAUUGGCUGAGAGGCUCCCUAUGACUCGCUACCGAGGGAACCUCCUGCCGAAUAAAUGGGACUGGCCGGACAAUGAUGUGAUUAGAGUUGCGGGCGGCAGGUUCUGCUGAAAGUCUGGAAUAGCCCGUCAAGAACCGCAUGAAAGUACAGCACAAGCCCUAAGCACCGGCUCUCACUCACAAGGAGUCUGCAUGACUAGCCGCUAGCCAUGCUCAGCUUUGUGGAUAUGCGGACUGUGCUGCUGCUGGCAGUCACACUAUACCUAGCAACAUGCCAAUCUGAGGGGCCCAGAGGAGACAAAGGCCCACAGGGAGAGAGGGUAAGCAAUGCUGCUCUUUUAUCCUCACUGCUAGAGCCAUAGGAAAACUGUCAGCAAACACCAGUCAGAUUCUAUAUAAGGAUAAUUACAUUUAUUGUAUAAUUUAUGAUUAUUUUAUUUCUUUUUUUAUGUUUAAAUUAUUUAAUAAAUAAAAGAAAGUAAUUGCCAAAACAUAGUGCCUUUUACACAGAAUAGUUCAUCUUGAUUUGUUCUAAUAAGCCUGCUAUCAGUUGUUUAAUAAAUAUUUAUUGUUUUUUUUUUGUAAAAGUGUAAUUUAUAAUUGAGAAUUUUGAAAUAAAAUUAAGAUUUUCUCACCAAUGGUCUAUGUGAUUUGUUGACCAAAUCAGUCAACGGAGACUUUGUUUUACUCACACAAUCAUUUUUCUGAUCCUAGAAGGGUCAAUAUUUAUUGGGACCGUUUAAGAUAUAUAUUCCUACAAGCUUACUGGAUAUGGAUGGAGCAAGAAUUUGUUUGGUGCACACAACUUGCCUCUUGCCCACUGAAGCAUUUGUGUAGCCGCCCGUGGCAUUAAACAUGACACAAAUGGCUUGUUAUACUGAAUCACAAUCCCCAACAAAAGUACUUAAAGCUCCAUAUUAAGUGUCUUGGGAUGUCACCACUUAGGUGGGAGUAAGAAGAG